rnacentral:rRNA from 1 species
UACGAAGGGGGCUAGCGUUGUUCGGAAUUACUGGGCGUAAAGCGCACGUGGGCGGCUUUGUAAGUUAGAGGUGAAAGCCCAGGGCUUAACCCUGGAAUUGCCUUUAAGACUGCAUCGCUAGAAUCGUGGAGAGGUGAGUGGAAUUCCGAGUGUAGAGGUGAAAUUCGUAGAUAUUCGGAAGAACACCAGUGGCGAAGGCGACUCACUGGACACGUAUUGACGCUGAGGUGCGAAAGCGUGGGGAGCAAACAGG